rnacentral:lncRNA from 1 species
AGAGGGCUGCCUGAUAGGAUUCACCACCUUCAGCCGGGAGACGCAGCCAGUCCGCAGCAACCAUGCAAAGAGGAACUGGGAAUGCUCUCCUCCCUCGCUACUGGCCCCUGCUCCCGCUCCCCAUUGGCCAAACCUGGCCGGAAGUAGGAGGCCCAGGAUCCUGUUGGUAGAGUCCUUGGACUGGCCUCCCUGGGACAGAACCAGUGGGGAAUGGACUGCAGAUACAGCACAUACCUGCCCUGGAAGGGAGAUCUGGCCAUCUGCAGUUUGCUAAAGCCACACCAGGUAAUAGGAAAAGAGCCUCUUUAUGAUGGGCUGUGUUGCUGAACUUACCACAGGGCCAUGGAUGGGACAAACACAUCAUGAGGGCUGUGGUCUGCCUUUUUAUUUCUUGGAAAGAGAAAUGCAACAAGAUGCUAAGUAUUUUAUAGAAAACCACACUCAGUCCUUCCAUCCUGGUACAGCUGGCCUCUGGAGCACACUGAGGACAGAACCAAGGCCUCUGGACAAAAGACCCAGGGAGGGAGAUUUUCAUUCAACGUAUGUUGUCCAGCGUCUUGAGAGUUUGAGGUUAGGUAUAACUCUAACAAACUAUGUACAAGAUCUAUAUGAGC